UACGGGAGGCAGCAGUGGGGAAUAUUGCACAAUGGGCGAAAGCCUGAUGCAGCUAUGCCGCGUGUAUGAAGAAGGCCUUAGGGUUGUAAAGUACUUUCAUCGGGGAGGAAAAAACAAAACUAAUAAUUUUAUUUCUUGACGUUACCCGAAAAAGAAGCACCGGCUAACUCCGUGCCAGCAGCCGCGGUAAUACGGAGGGUGCUAGCGUUAAUCAGAAUUACUGGGCGUAAAGAGCACGUAGGUGGUUUUUUAAAGUCAGAUGUGAAAUCCCUGGGCUUUAACCUGGAACUGCAUUUUGAAACUGAAAUACUAGAGUAUCGUAGAGGGAGGUAGAAUUCUAGGUGUAGCGGUGAAAUGCGUAGAUAUCUGGAGGAAUACCUGUGGCGAAAGCGGCCUCCUAAACGAAUACUGACACUGAGGGUGCGAAAGCGUGGGGAGCAAACAGGGAUUAGAUACC
rnacentral:rRNA from 1 species